rnacentral:lncRNA from 1 species
CCCAGCUAUCGGAGUACGGCAAGAUCCAUCCAAUUUCUCUAGGAAUGCUCUCUCACACGCAACUGCUAAUCUGGUAUCCUCAUGAUUCAAGGCUGCCAAAUAAGUAGCCUGAAGAGACAAUGCUUCAAUUAGAUGAGGAAAAAAAAAAAACUUUUAAAUCAUCAUGGUACACCAUGAUGUUUCAUGAGAUUAGAUAUGUGGAUAAUAGCUCAAUCAUCAUUCCCUGUCCAGGAGAGACACAGAGAGAGAGAGAGAGGACAUACCAUCUUUUCAUCAUCACUUCUACAUGCAAUUCCUAUAGCCCCUUGAGCUACAGCAGGGAGCAUGUCAUCAAUGGAUAGAAUGGAUGUAACAUUUUCUGUCAUGUUUAGGCGCUUCAAUCCAGCUAAUGCCAAUAAUGUUG